rnacentral:rRNA from 1 species
CAGUAAGGAAUAUUGGUCAAUGGACGCAAGUCUGAACCAGCCAUGCCGCGUGGAGGAUGAAGGCCCUCUGGGUUGUAAACUUCUUUUAUUUGGGACGAAACACUUUCUUUCUAGAGAGCUUGACGGUACCAGAUGAAUAAGCACCGGCUAACUCCGUGCCAGCAGCCGCGGUAAUACGGAGGGUGCAAGCGUUAUCCGGAUUCACUGGGUUUAAAGGGUGCGUAGGCGGACAUGUAAGUCCGUGGUGAAAUCUCUAAGCUUAACUUGGAAACUGCCAUGGAUACUAUAUGUCUUGAAUGUUGUGGAGGUUAGCGGAAUAUGUCAUGUAGCGGUGAAAUGCAUAGAUAUGACAUAGAACACCAAUUGCGAAGGCAGCUGGCUACACAAAUAUUGACGCUGAGGCACGAAAGCGUGGGGAUCAAACAGGAUUAGA